rnacentral:lncRNA from 1 species
UAUAGGGCCGGGAGAGUGGGCAGCAGCUCUGGGGAUUCAAAUGACCACGGGCCGGGCUGAACUGAGCAGAGUCCCUGGUUCGGCACAGAAGGGGACCCGGCCUCUUCACAGAGAGGGGAGCCAGAGGCCUCCUGCGGAGGCCGGGGUAAGUAUGUGAUUGCCCGCAGCAGGCUCCUAUGGGCUCUGGGGGUAAGAGGGUCAGGAGAGAGUCGCUGUGUUUGCUGUCCCUCCCAAAGUCUCACAUGAGGUAGCGUGGUAUAGGGGAAAGAACAUGAGAUUGAAAGGCACUGAACUCCCUGGUGCGUAUCCUUGGGCAAGUGACUGUACCUCUCUGAGUGUCCUGUUUCUUUAUCUGUAAAAUAGAAACAACCCUAGGACCUGCUUUGCAGCCUAGAUCCUGUUCAGAGGGGACCGAGGAUGAAGUGAGAGAAUCUAAGAGGAAGCAGGCAGCACAGUGUGGUAUGCAGCCAGUGUAGGCUGCCUCCGGGGUGCAGGUACUGGUAACCAAGGGAGGCCUGGUGGAGGCAACGGGCAGGUCGGCUGGAGGGAGGGGCAGCGAUCGGGAACCAGCGAACCCAGACCCUGGUGCUUGAGGAGCACUCUGGACGGAGGGCUCUGCAGGGAUGGGAUCGGGAGUGGACUGGGGAGUCCAUGAGCCUGUCAGGGCCUGGUAGGAACCCAGCAAGUCUGGGGAGUGCAGACAGGGUGACAGAGAUCUGUACCAUCCUGGGGCACCUGGGGCCAGCUGUGCUUACUGGCGGAGGUCAGCCACCCCUUGGGAAAUUGUGCCCUUCUCCCAAUUUUGCAGCUCCUCCUCCCCUUCCCCAGACUCUAGGGAUUGACCCAAACCUUUCUUGACCAAUAGCUCUCAGCCUUGGCCCAGGUUAUGGCCUCCCCCCCCCAGUUUUCAUUUAUUUUGGAGAUGGGGGAGAGGCAGAGAGCGAGAAUCCCAAGCAGGCUCCACACUGUCAGCAUAGAGCCUGUCAUGGGGUUUGAACUCAUGAACCAUGAGAUCGUGACCUGAGCCUUAAUCAAGAAUCAGAUGCUUAACUGACUGAAACGCCCAGGCGCCCCAGGCUGCAGCCUUGCCUGUGCCACCCCAGGUUGGCAGAGCCUGAAGGCCACGUUCGCAGCCUCAAGUGUGGGUUCUCAGAUGUAAAACCCAGGCUCUUCUUCGACAAAGAUGAAACUCCCAUUCACCCCUUCCUACCCAUCUAUACCCAGCCAUAGGCCUUCUUUUCUUUCUGGGUAUUUUCUAUUUUCCAAAUAUAAAAUUAAACAUGCUUUUUCAGACAAAGCACGCCCCCCUCGCAGCCCUAGAGAUUUCAGACCUGCUUCCUCCUUUGAAAAUGGAUGAUUUGAUUCAGUGCUUUGGAGAACAGAGGGAGAUUGAGGCCCAGUGGGCGGACAGAAUCUAACUUCUUGUUACAAUAGAAAUGACCUAUCACUGUUUACUUUCCAAAGCAUGAUUUCCUCAGCACCUGGCUGGCUCAGUCCAUGGAGGGAGCAUGCGACUGUUGAUCCUGGGUUUGUCUGCUCAGCUCCACGUUGGGUAUAGACAUUACUUUUUAAAAAGGGGGUGGGGAGCGCCUGGGUGACUCAGUCCUUUGAGCAUCUGACUUCGGCUCAGGCCAGGAUCUCAUGGUUUGUGUGUGUGACCCUGCCUCGUGCUCUGUGCUGACAGUGAGGAGCCUGGAGCCUGCUUCACGUCCUGGGUCUCCUGCUCUCCCUGCCUCUCCCCCACUCAUGCUCUGUCUCUCUCUUAAAAAUAAACAUUAAAAAAAUUUUUUUUAGGGGCGCCUGCGUGGCUCAGUGGGUUAAGCAUCUGACUUCAGCUCAGGUCAUGAUCUCCAAGUCCGUGGGUUCGAGCCCCGCGUCGGGCUCUGUGCUGACAGCUCGGAGCCUGGAACCUGCUUCGGAUUCUGUCUUCCUCUCUGCCCCUCCCCUGCUCACACUCUGUCUCUCUCUCUCUCAAAAAUAAACACACACACAAAUUUUUUUUUUUAAUGUUUUAAAGAAAAAGGGCAUCUAUCUAUCUCUCUAUUAUCUAUAAAAAACAUGGUUUCCUCUAUGGGCUGAUCCCUAUCCCAUUUGGGAAAGGCAUAUGAUUUUGUGAGAAGUGGGCGGCAGAUGGGUUUCCACCAUUUCACAGAUGAACAAACUGAGGCCAGAAUGCCUCAGGCACGAUUAGCAAGACAAUCAGAAAAUGUUCUCCUGCCUGUGGAGUCAGCGAAGCCUCAGUACAAUUACCGGGGGCUCCAAGGUGCGGGCGGACAGGGCAGGGAAUGCCCCCUCAGUCUGGUGGGGCGAUGGGCGGAGGCCAGAGCUUAAGAGUUUUAGACCUUUAAGUCGUGGCCAGUGAACACCAGCGAGACCGCGGCGGGCUCCGCAGCUGGGAGUGGGCUCCGAUUCCGCUCUGCCACCUUGCAGCUUCGCGACCUUGACUUGCUUCGUCUACAGCUUCCCGUUACGCAAAAGGAGCCAAGAAUCCCCGCUGGCCGGGUCGUCAGGAACAGUCAAUGCGACUCAAGCCAGCGCCCGCCGCCGGCAAGCGCUCCACAGACCGAGCGCGCGGCACCCUUUGUGCCGCCGCCGCGCCCGGGCCCAGGGUCGCGCCUUCCUCCGCGGCCCCGGCGGGAACGCGGGCGGGGCGGGCGCUGACGCCGUUCCCGCCCCCGGAACCGCCCCCGGGCCUGCCCCGGCCCCGCCCCGCCCGGCCCGUUCGGCGGCGGCGGCGGUGGCGGUGGCGGCGCGCGAAGGUAGGAGGCCGCGGGCGCGCGCUGCGGCGGGCGGAGGCCGCGAGGCUGAGGUGGCGGCGCGCGCGGGCGGGAAGGCGGGCGCGCGCCAGGGGGCGGGCCGGAGCCGGCGUCCCCGGGCCCUGGGGAAACCCCGCGCCCUCGCCGCGUUCCCGCACCCCCUGGCAGUGCACGCGCCCUGUCUGUCCCCGGCUCCAAGCCCUGCCGGGACCCUGGGGGCCAGGGGCCGGGCGCGGCGGCGGCGGCGGCGGCGGCCUGCGGGGCUCGGCGUUCUGAGGCCCCGAGGGGCGCCCCCGUCCCGGGUCCCGUCGUUCCGCCGGCCGGGCCGCCGCGGGAGGCCCUUCCCGACCGUCGCCACUAACAGCAGCUCCCGGGCUGCGGCUUCCUGUGGGCCCAGCAGCGUCCCUGCCCUCCUCGCGCGGGAGGGCGUUUCACCCUUGCUGCGAUCGGCAAAACGCAAAGUAGCCCCAUUUUACCGAUAAGGAAACCGAGGCCCGGAGCGGUCAAUAGGGUUGCCCACGAUGGCACAGCCUGUGCAGGGAUUUGGGCCCUCCUUGGGUUUCUCAACAUGGGGCCUGGGGUUGGCGUAUUCCCAACGGGUUCGCUCCGGAUUUUAAUGCAAACCCGAGAGGCCGGCUCCCCCUGGGGCUGGGACGUGUCUGGGAGCUUGGGACACCGUGGGGGAGGGCCCAUGAGGGUACCUUUCUGUUUUCAUCCGAGAUUUGCUGUUUUCCUUAGCUGAGCUCACAGCAGGUGCUUAAUAAACAAACAAGUCCUGUGUUAGCAGCAGACCCGAGGCUGUAUAGCCAGGCCGGUGGGCUCCUUAGUCAGAAGCAGGGUUCAGGAAAGACCUCAGGAGUCGGAACCCCUGGAUCUUGAGGGUUUGCCUGACUUCGCUCAGGGAGAGGACUCCCCCAGGCUUUCUCUCAAGCCCUUGGACACUAGGCACCCUUCCCACUCAGUCCCAUGUUGGGGACACUGUCGGGUUUUUACCCUGAGCUCCAGGGACACAGCAGGUGCUGGGUAUGUGUUCCCUGGGGUCCGCCUGGAAUUCCAGUCUGAGGGUGACAUCAUAUGGCCAGGACUUGCCCUAUGUGACCCCCCACCAAAGUUCAGGGGAACUGUUUCUUUUUCAAAUUUUUUCAUUUAGUUUCCUGUAUUAUUGUUUCUUUGCGUGCAUGCAUGCAUGCAUGCAUGCAUUCAUUCAUUCAACAGCUGUUCAUGGAGCUCAGGGCCUCAGGCACUGCGGAGGUAGCAGUGAACAAGGCCGGCUUGAUCCCUGUCCUUGGAGGAGAUAGACCACAUACAUGUUAGAGAAAAUGGUGAAUGACUACCGGCAGGGACCACUUUAGCUUCGUGUCAGGAUUAGCCCUUUCAGAAGGUGAUAUUUUUGAGGCAAGAUCUGGCUGACAAGCAGUAGUCAGUCAUGUAAAAGAGGGAUUGCAGGCAGGGAAAAUGGCAGGUGCAACGGUCCUGAGGUGGGAGCAUGCCUGAUACGUAUGGCUGAGACUCAAGAAAGCCAGCGUGGCUGGAGUGGAAUGAGCAGGGGCAAGAGAGAAGGGGAUGAUGAGGGGGGAGAAGUGGACCAGGGCCCUGCGGCAGGACCUUGAAUUUUGUUAUUUAAUUUUGAGUGUGAUAGGAAGCCGUGUGUGUGUUGGGGGAGGGGUGGGAUUGAACAGAAGAGGGAUGUGGUCUCUACUGUGUGAGAAUUGGCUGGAAUUGGGGCGCUGGGUGGCUCGAUCUGCUGAGCAUCCGACCCUUGAUUUCGGCUCAGGUCAUGAUCUCUCGGUUUGUGAGUUCCAGCCCUGCAUUGGGCUCUAUGCUGAUGGUUGGGAGCCUGCUUGAGAUUCUCUUUCUCUUCCUCUCUCUCUCUCCCCUGCUCUCUUGUGCUCGCUUGCUCUCUCUCAAAAAUAAAUAAAUAAACUUAAAGAAAAAGAAUAGACUGGAAUGGAGGGACGAGAGGAGAGGCAGGGAGACCCAGUGCAGGCAAAAAGGUGGUAGUGGCUUAUGUGACACACGUCAGAGACCUAGGCUGGUGGCUGGCAAUAGUACGUGCUACAUAAUGGUAGCCAUUGCUGUUAUCGUUCAAAACUUUGGAACCAGGCCUGCCUGGGUCUCACGUGUGGCUUCAGCUGUUCCUACUGGGUAACUUUGAGCAAGUUAUUUAACUUCGCUGAGCCUUAGUCUUGUCGUGGCAUGCUGCCGUGUACCAGGCAACAAGGUUCUAGACUGGGUCCUGGGACGAGCCAAUAAUAUCAGUGGUGGUAAUGAUAACGCUAAUAAGACCCAACACUAUCCACUAUUUAACAGCGUGUGUCAUCAUUAGGGUGAUACUAGCUGACGUGACAGCAAAACUCUGAAAUCUCAGAGGCUUAACAGGAGUUUAUUUCUCAUUCAUGAAAAGUCCUGUUGGGUGUUUGGCUUUCCCCGUGGUGUUUGGCUUUCUCCGUGGUGACCCACAGACCCAGACCCUUCCAGCACGUGGCUCUGGCAUCCCCUAGGGCCUCAGCACGAUUGCCUUCCCUUUGGCGGACAAGGAAGGAGACAAGCAUUUCCUCAUGAGAGAUACUUCAUGGGCCAGGUCUGCGUUCUUUUUAUCUUAAUUCUCCUGGCCGGAAUGUGAUCACAUGGCCAUAGCUGACUGCAAGGGAGUCCCAUUUCCGGAGAAGAAUCGGAAAUGCGUUUUGCUCAACACACGGAAGCGUCUGCCACACCGUAUCCAAGCGCACAGCUAAGCGUGGAUCACCUCGUUGAAGCCUCAUGAUAGAAGCAGGUGCCAUUAUCACCCCAUUUUACAGACAAGGAAACUGAGGCUCCGAGAGGCAAAGUCACUGCUCAGCUCGCACAGCUGGCGGGGAGGCAUAGCCCAGAUUGGAGUUGGAUGCCGAAGCUAUAACAUCCAGACUUUUCUAUGAGGAAUUCAUUGUUUUGAGAAUUGGAAGGUGUGGACAUUGGAGAACGACACGUACACACAGGAUUUAGAUGUGAUUUCUUGGGAUCUAGAGAACCCAGUCACACUCUAGGGGGAGAACUCUGGGCAGAGGCGACCUCCAGUGCCCAGGGUUCUGGCAUCCUGCUCCCUUCUCCUCAUCCCUUAGGGCACUGGCUAGGGGGAAGGCACAGAAUAAUUCCGUUCAGUUCAUCAAGCACAUCUGGGGCCCCCUCUCUGCCAAGCCGGGCAAGCAGGGGCAGAGAUCCUGGCCUAGGGGUGUCUGUGGCCUGCCCCCUGCUCUGGUUCUGGGUGUGCAGCCUCUGGAGGGGAUUUCUGGAGGGUGUCUGGAGGUGGGAAAACGGGAGUCCCAGAGUUUGGUAGCGACAGCUCUCUGCCCCUGGCCAAGUUCACUUUUGCCUAAAUUUGGCCUUGGUGGCCACAGCAACUCGGUGGCACUUAUCUUUUGGCCUGGCGUGCCCUGUUUCCUGGUUUUCCAUUUGCAGAACAGAUCUCCUAGUUGAGGGCGAGGGGUCCAGCCUGACUGAUGUGCAUUUCUGCAGUACCUGCUGCAUUCCUGGGUCUGACCUAGACGCAGGGGCAGAGUCUUCAAGGGAAAAUGCCUGGCCUUUGGGCACUUAUUGGGAGGCUGCCUGGGCCAAGUGGCAUGAGCUUUGGGCUUCCCACUUCCCUGUGGCGGGUCACUUUGAACAGGUAAGAGCCCUAAGUUCUCUAAGCCUUGGUUUUCUCAUCGGGAAAUGGGUUGAGUUGAGGAUUUAAUGAGAUAAUGCGAAUAUGACUCCUGUGGGACGUGGCGUGUAGAGCGGAGGGCACCCUGAGGCCGAGGGGCCCAUAGGUAGCAGGAGUGAUGCUCAUGCAAACAGGACCCACCACUGCCAUCUCCUUGCUGGCUACGUGCCCGAUGUGGUUCUAACCUCCUUCUACUUUUCAACCCACCCGAUCCUCAGUGACUCUGCGUGGUAGGUCUUUCAGUCCCGUUUUAGAGAUGAGGAAACUGAGGUCCAGAGAGGUACCUUGUCCAAGGUCAUACUGCCAACGAGGGGCAGAGCUGGGACUCCCAUGUGACCCCAGAUCUGCCGCUCAGUCCGGAGUUUCGGGCCCAAUUGCAGCAGGCAGCUUCCUCGCCACAGGGCAGGAACCGUGGGAGGUGGUGGGUGGACCUCUGGCCGUGGGGCACAGGGACUGUACAUUUGGGAUUUUCAAAGGAAUGAAAUCGAUAUUUAUCAAAUACUUAGUAUGAGCCGGAGUCACACACUCUUUGUGCACACCCCAGUUUUUUGUUUAAAUUCCCAGACAACUCCAUGAGAUCGAUGCCGAUAUUAUCUGCAUCUUACAAGAGGACAGUGAGGCUCAGAGAGGCAAAGUUCCUUUCCCAGAGGCACACAGCCUGUGGGGGGGGGGGCGAGGGGAGGAGAGGGGAAUGGGGGCAAAGGGGUGUGGGUGAUUCCACAGCCUGCGAUCUUUGCCCCGAACCCGAUGUGGGAAAACGUCAUCCCAGCACCCUUUGAAUACAUUCUUAGCAAGUCACGUGACCCCCAUCUGGGUCAGCAAAGGAGGUCUCAAAAGACUAGCCUUUCCCGCCUCCUGAUGCUGACCCCGCCCCCUAGGCUUGGAGGGCUCUAGGACCCAGCAGCUGGGGAGGGUGGACUGUGUGUGUGUGUGUGUGUGUGUGUGUGUGUGUGUGUGUGUGUGUGUGUGUUGGGGGGGUCCCCUCAUCUUCAGGUCCCUCCUCCUCCCUCUCUCCAGCCUUUCCCUUUCUCCCCCACCUCUUCCCCCUUUCCUCCCCUCCCCCUCUUCAUCCCUCCCCUUUCUUCUCUUCCCUCCCCUCUUCUCCUUCCCCAGCCCCUCCCCCUCCCUCACCCCUCCCACCUCGGUGGUCACAUGGGGGGCACCGCCGGAUUUAAGCCUAAUCUGCCCUGUGCUCAGCACAGCGGUCUGGCUGUGGGGUGGGAGAGCUGAGCUAGUCUCUGGGGCCCUGGAGAAGGGCCUGGAGGGGGGUGCCCACAGCUCCCCCCUCCAUGAGCUUGGGGCUGGAGGAAUCGGUGGAGGCCCAGCUGGCACUGGAGACGGUUAUCCAGGUGGGUCCUGAGGACUGUGCCCACCCUGUCCGGGGCAGGGGAGCAUGGGUCUAGCAGGAAUGGAUGAGUGGUAGGUACAUCUUGGGGUCAUGGGGUGGGAGGGGUGGGUGGGAGGGUGCACGGGGGCCCCAGCUUGCAACUCCCAGCCGGACUGGGGGUACAGAGGUGCUCAGAGCAAAACUGCUUUGGCCCCCUUAUCCCAGGGCCCUGUGGGAAAAGGGGAUCCCUGCUCCCAGAUUUAAGGGUUGAGGUGACAUCUGCUAGCACAGUGGAAUCCUCUGGGAUUGGAGGGUUGGAGCUGGACUGGAACCCCCAGCCCUGUGCUGCCCCGAUGGGUUUUGUGAGCGAGCCAUGCGGUUUGGUUCGCUUCUCUGGCCCUCCAUGGGGCCUCCUUCCCGGGGCAGGAGGCACUGAAGCGUGCCCUCCCGUGGGGCGUUUUUCCAUUGUAGCUCCCAGGCUUCCCUCCGCAUGGGGGCUUCCUGAGGGUCUCACGGGCCCCCACAUCUUGGGCAGCAGGACUUUGUUCCUCUCCCAUCCAGGCCAGGGAGACCAGGGCCCCCAGUCCCCUUCACACUCUCUCUCUCCCCCCCUACAGACCCUGGAGAGCAGCGUCCUGAGGGCAGGCCGGGAGAAGGGCCUGAGCGAGCAGGACCCUGCCCAGGACUCUCAGCUCGCCUGCCUACCUGCCCGCAUCAGGGAGAUCAUCACCUGCAACCUCUCCCAGCCUGAGAACCAAGGUGCCGCUCUUCAUUCGCCCCCACAGACACUGCCUGCACCUCACCCCUUCUCACAUCCCCCUCUUCCACGGCCGUAAUGACAGGAGUGACCGCAGCUUCCAUUUCUCAAAUACUCACUGUGAGGCGGGCACAACCCUGUGAUGGAGGGACCCAUUUUACAGAUGGGGAAAUGGAGGCUCAGAGGUAUAGUUUGCCCAGAGUCGUUCUCCAUGUGACGCUGCGAGACAGUGGGGAUGAGCACCCCCACCCGCAGCUCACAGCAGAGACUUAGACCCAAAUACCACGUUCUCUCCCAGGGAAGGUGUGAGCUUGGCCGAACCCCAGAUUACAGGGGGAGGGCAGCUCAGUUUAGCUCAGGGCUCUGCAGAAGUCCCAGGGAUGGUCCUGUCCAUUCCCCAGCAGGGCAGAGAGGCUGAUGGGCCCCUGUUCCUCCUGCUGGGUGCCGUCCACAACCUCCUGUGUGGUUUGAGAGUCUGGGAAGGGCACACUCAGUUACAGCUGGCGUGUGGGCAGCUCUCCUUGGUGGUGAUUCUGGGGCUCCGCCACAGUCCUUGUCCAACCUCUUUGGGACGACCAGGGGUGUUGGGGCCCCUGGGAGCCCCAGGCAAGGAGAGACUUAGAGAACCCUCACCUCAGGCUGAAAGAGCCUGGAGACCUGUGGCGUGUGUCCAGUUCUCCUGGGAUGGAAGGGGAGCCCACAGGGCGGGGGACACUUCGACUUCUCCCUUUGUCCCCCUCUUCCUCUUCCUCCUCCUCCUCCCAACAUGACCUAUACUAUCUGAAGCCCUGGCUUCAGAGGUUACAUGAAGCCCUUCCCUUAAGUGAGGUCUUCCUGGUCUCCCGUUUACCAAUUCCACCCAGGUUACAGAUCAGCAAAACUGAGGCCCAGAGAAGAGUUCUGGGCCCGCUGGGGCCACCCUUCGGCGGUGUCUGGGUCCGCUCUGAGUCUAGCCCUAGGCCUGUCUCUUUGCCCACCUUCCUGUUCUUAUCUCUGUUUGCGUGCUCUGGUGCUGACGUCCUCUCUCAGGGGCCCAGUCCCUCUUCCUGCCUCCAGUGAUGUUUGUAGAGCACCUAUCGUGGGAGGGUGUCCUCCUGGACCCGGGGGGGCGGGGGGGGGGGGGGGAAGGAAGCCAACCAUGUGCCUGCUGUCCCUCUCCAGCCCCGCUGCCGGCCGCGGAGAUGGCAUCAGUGCUGUCGCUGCAGGAGGAAAACCAGCUGCUGCAGCAGGAACUGUCCCGCGUGGAGGACCUGCUGGCCCAGAGCCGGGCGGAGCGUGACGAGCUGGCCAUCAAGUACAACGCGGUCAGCGAGAGGGU